AAGUAUGAGUGCUUUCUUCUGCCUCACUUUGGAAGUAUGCAGAGAAGAUCAGCAUGAUCCCUGUGGAAGGAUGAUAUGCAAGUUGGAAAUAAAUGUAAACCUUAC
rnacentral:snRNA from 1 species